rnacentral:rRNA from 1 species
UACGGAGGAUCCGAGCGUUAUCCGGAUUUAUUGGGUUUAAAGGGUGCGCAGGCGGAAUAUUAAGUCGGCGGUGAAAGUUUGCAGCUUAACUGUAAAAUUGCCGUUGAUACUGGUAUUCUUGAGUGUAUAUGAAGUAGGCGGAAUUUGUAGUGUAGCGGUGAAAUGCAUAGAUAUUACAAGGAACUCCGAUUGCGAAGGCAGCUUACUAAAAUACAACUGACGCUUAGGCACGAAGGCGUGGGGAUCAAACAGGAUUAGAUACCCGUGUAGUCCCUGA